CGGAGAUAUCACGUUGAAACACCGGUACCCUUACGAUCUCCGAAGUUAAGCAACGUCAAGCCAGGUCAGUACGUAGAAGGGUUACCGCUUGGGAAUAUCAUGUGUUGUU